AUUUUCUGCCACCGAAUACAUUAGCAUGGGAUAAUGGAAUAGGACCCUGUCCUCCUAUUUUCAGUUGGUUUUGGCAGCGCGAGGACUAGGGUAAUGAUUAAUAGGGAUAGUUGGGGGCAUUAAUAUUUAAUUGUCAGAGGUGAAAUUCUUGGAUUUAUGAAAGAUUAACUUCUGCGAAAGCAUCUGCCAAGGAUGUUUUCAUUAAUCAAGAACGAAAGUUAGGGGAUCGAAGACGAUCAGAUACCGUCGUAGUCUUAACCAUAAACGAUGCCGACCAGCGAUUAGGAGACGUUGAAUACAAAACACCACCAUCGGCGCGGUCGUCCUUGGCGUCGGUCCUUCACGGGGCCGGCGCGAGGGCGGCUUAGCCCGGUGGCACCGGUGAAUGACUCCCCUAGCAGCUUGUGAGAA
rnacentral:rRNA from 1 species